rnacentral:rRNA from 1 species
UACGUAGGGGGCGAGCGUUGUCCGGAUUUACUGGGCGUAAAGCGCGCGUAGGCGGGGUAGCAAGUCCGGUGGGAAAGCCCGCGGCUCAACCGCGGAAGUUCGCUGGAAACUGCUACUCUUGAGGGUGAUAGAGGGAAGUGGAAUUGCUGGUGUAGCGGUGAAAUGCGUAGGUAUCAGCAGGAACACCCGUGGCGAAGGCGGCUUCCUGGAUCGCCCCUGACGCUGAGACGCGAAGGCGUGGGGAGCGAACGGG